rnacentral:rRNA from 1 species
GGUGAACUUGUGGGGGGAUCAUUA